CGGCGGCAUCGCGGGGAUACCCAGCCAGCGGCAGCCACGGCAGCGGGCGUACGGCUCCGGCAGAGGUGUCUGGUGUUGGCGUUGGCGGACACGGAGGCCGCUGGGGCCCUCCGGGUCAGGUGGACCAGCUUGGCUGCGGAGCCACCGGGGCAGCGGAGGCGGUUUUGGCGGUGGCGGCGGCGGCCUUGGCGGCAGCGGCUAGACGGUCCGACUAGCGGAGUGUUGCAGUGGCGGCUACGGUGGCCACGGAGGCAGGGGCUGGAGGGCUCCGGGAGCCAGGGCGGCCCCUGCAGCAGCGGGGUGUUGCAGUGGCAGUGGCGGCGGCGGCGGCCACGGCGGCAGUGGGGGGACGGCCCCGCGAGUGGAGUGUGGCCCUGGCGGCGGCGGAGACGGCGGUCCCCGGGGGCGGGCAUACCCCAGCCGCAGCAGCAGCAGCCCCCGCAGCAGCAGCAGCCCCCCCUGCAGCCGCCGCCGCCGCCUACGCAGAGAGUGAGCAGCCCGGCCAGCAGACCCCCGCGGGGUCGGCCCCGCCAGCGGACCCCUGCCACAUCUGCAGGCGGCUUUAGGCGGGCGGCGGCAAGUCCCCGGGAGGCGGCAGCAAGUGGUCGGAUCGUGGCGAGCGCUCGCACCACCCCAACAAGCGCUCGCACCACCCCGGUAAGCGCUGGUACCACCGUGGCGAGCGCUCGCACCGGCGGGACAAGCGCCCGCACCACCCCGGCAAAUGCUCACCCGUCCUCGGGAAGCGCCCGCACCACCCCGGCGGCCAGUCCCGGGACCGCGGGAAGCCCUCGAGCCACAGGAAGUCCUCGGGCAGCCACAAUUCCUCGAGCGGCCGCCAGUCCUCAGACCUUGGGAAGCCCUCGGCUCUCCGGAAGUCCUCAGACGGCAGCGAGUCCUCGGGCUGCGGGGAGUCCUCGAGCAGCAGCAGUUCCCCAGCCCAUUGUUGGGCCACGUCGGGUAGCUCCUCAGGCAGCCGAAAUUCCUCAUCCAGUUCCUUCCCAGGUGGCCAGUUUGCCUG
rnacentral:lncRNA from 1 species